rnacentral:rRNA from 1 species
UACGUAGGGGGCAAGCGUUGUCCGGAAUCAUUGGGCGUAAAGCGCGUGUAGGCGGCUCGAUAAGUCUGCUGUGAAAGUCCAGGGCUCAACCCUGGAAUGCCGGUGGAAACUGUCGAGCUAGAGUCCGGAAGAGGCGAGUGGAAUUCCUGGUGUAGCGGUGAAAUGCGCAGAUAUCAGGAGGAACACCAAUGGCGAAGGCAGCUCGCUGGGACGGUACUGACACUGAGACGCGAAAGCGUGGGGAGCAAACAGG